rnacentral:rRNA from 1 species
UCUUCUUUAAAAACAUCUUGAACAUGCCGGAUCCCGUCUGAUCUCGGAAGCUAAGCAGGGUCAGGCCUGGUUAGUACUUGGAUGGGAGACCACCUAGGAAGACCAGGUGGUGCAAGGG